CCAGGGCUUGCUCGGCCUCCCGAGAACGCCCUCGCCACGCAGCCGGCCGGACGUGUGGCCGGCGCUGCGCCUUCCCUCUCUGGCCCUCCCAGGCGGUGCCCGUUUUGACGUACUUGUGAUCCAGGCAGAAAAGAAGCCUUCACAAGCCCACGUAUUUUCCUCAGUGAGACAAAGAAAUAUUUGUGAUAUACUGAAACAGCUGAAGAAGUAUUCCGUUCAAAGUUCAGAGGGAGGAAACAGAGAAGCAGGAGACAAGAGAGUAAAAGAACCUAACAAAACCAAACUAAAGAUAGUCCAGCCUGAUGUCAAGUCAUAUGAUGAGUUCAAGCUCAAAGCCAACUGCUUCGACCUCCAGAAUCAAAGAGUGCUCUGAGCGCUGAAAGGAGGAAGCAGAAUGCAGGUGUUCGUGUGGGCCCUCUCUGGAAGCAAGGACCAUGUGUUCGCGGAAUAAUGACUAGUGCCCUCAAAGAAAGGAAAAUUCGAAUAGAAAAAGAAUGCUCUUCUGCAUGGUGAGUCUUCAUCUGACAAUGGGCUUUUCUGUGGGCUCACCCCUGACUGUGCCUGGGGUUCACAGAGCAGCCACAGGACCUGGCAAGCCAAUAAAUUCUUUGUCGUUGGUGCUCA
ensembl:lncRNA